rnacentral:rRNA from 1 species
UACGUAGGGGGCAAGCGUUGUCCGGAUUUACUGGGCGUAAAGAGCGCGCAGGCGGUCGUUCAAGUCGAGUGUGAAAGCCCCCGGCUCAACUGGGGAGGGUCACUCGAUACUGAUCGACUCGAAGGCAGAAGAGGGAAGCGGAAUUCCCGGUGUAGUGGUGAAAUGCGUAGAUAUCGGGAGGAACACCAGUGGCGAAGGCGGCUUUCUGGGACGGUACUGACGCUGAGACGCGAAAGCGUGGGGAGCGAACAGG